rnacentral:rRNA from 1 species
UAGGGAAUCUUCGGCAAUGGGGGCAACCCUGACCGAGCAACGCCGCGUGAGUGAAGAAGGUUUUCGGAUCGUAAAGCUCUGUUGUAAGAGAAGAACGUGUGUGAGAGUGGAAAGUUCACACAGUGACGGUAACUUACCAGAAAGGGACGGCUAACUACGUGCCAGCAGCCGCGGUAAUACGUAGGUCCCGAGCGUUGUCCGGAUUUAUUGGGCGUAAAGCGAGCGCAGGCGGUUUAAUAAGUCUGAAGUUAAAGGCAGUGGCUUAACCAUUGUUCGCUUUGGAAACUGUUAAACUUGAGUGCAGAAGGGGAGAGUGGAAUUCCAUGUGUAGCGGUGAAAUGCGUAGAUAUAUGGAGGAACACCGGUGGCGAAAGCUGCUCUCUGGUCUGUAACUGACGCUGAGGCUCGAAAGCGUGUGGAGCAAACAGG